rnacentral:misc_RNA from 1 species
UCCGAGUUGACCCCGGCAGUCUCCUAUGAGUCCCCACCAUUACGUGCUGGCAACAUAGGACGAGGGUUGCGCUCGUUGCGGGACUUAACCCAACAUCUCACGACACGAGCUGACGACAGCCAUGCACCACCUGUAUAGGGCCCUUACGGACCUGCCAUCUCUGGAGGAUUUCCCUAUAUGUCAAACCCAGGUAAGGUGGGGAUGACGUUUCCAGGUUAGG